CAUUCUGCAAAAGUUUGUAGAUCUUCUGCAAGGAGAACGGCAUUGUUAACUACCUACAGGAAGUGUCUCAGAUUAACAGACGUGUGUAGGAUUUCAGUCCCAUUUGAAUACACCCGAUGGAUGUACGACCUUGAGAAAUUUACUUAACACUUCCAGGUCAGCCCGGCGUGGUGGCUUAUGCCUGUAUUUCCAGCACUUGGGGAGGCCAAGCCGGGUGGAUCACGAGGUCAGGAGUCCGAGACCAGCCUGGCCAACAUGGUGAAAACCUGUCUCUACUAAAGAUACAAAAAUUAUCUGGGUG
rnacentral:lncRNA from 1 species